AAACAGAGGCUAACAUUUGUUGUUUUUUCUUUCCAGAACGCCAAGUCGGUCUUAGCUAGAUGAUGUCAUGCGUGCCCUCCAAGCGGCAUACCCCUUCCUGGCCGACUCCACUGGACGCUGCAAGUUCAGCAAAACAAGGAAAACUAUGGCAAAGGUGGUGGGCGAAAGCGAAAGGAAAAACGCCAACGGAGUGACUGUAUUCAAAAAUACAAAAGGACCAUGGUUCCACAUCAUGACGUAGAAGGUACCGACAACUGUGCAGACCACGUAGAGAUUAUGGCUGCUGAAUGCUCCAAGGCUGCAACAGAUGUGAAGCUCUUACUUCAAAUAAUAGCAGAGACGUCACAGGCAAGGAGGGUAGACAUCGCUGGCAAGACCACCACUGAUGUUAUUUAGCUGUACCCGGCCCUCUGCAUUCCCGAAGUGGU